AGAAUCUACCUCAAGGACGGGGACAACAGCUGGAAACGGUUGCCCAAACCCGAUGUGCCGCAAGGUGAAAUAUUUAUAGCCUAGAGAAGAGCUUGCGUCUGAUUAGCUAGUUGGUGGGGUAAGAGCCUACCUAGGCGACAAUCCCUAGCUGGUCUGAGAGGAUGAGCGUUCUCCCUGGGCUGAGACACGGCCCACACUCCGACGGGAGGCAGCAGGGGGAAUUUUCCGCAAUGGGCGAAAGCUUUUUUUUUCAACGCCGCGGAGGGAGGAAGGCUCUUGGGUUGUAAACCUCUUUUGCUUGGGCCCCACAUCAGACGGUGCCAAGCGAAUCAGCAUCGGCUAACUCCGUGCCAGCAGCCGCGGUAAUACGGAGGAUGCAAGCGUUAUCCCGAAUUAUUGGGCGUAAAGCGUCCGCAGGUGGUUAUUCAGUCUGCUGUUAAGACUGAAGCUUAACUUCGAAAGGCGUGGAAACUGACAGACUACAGGUCACUAGGGGUAGCAUGAAUUCCCAGUG
rnacentral:rRNA from 1 species